CUGUAUUUGGGUUUAUUUCACUUGAACAUUAUUUUAUUUAAUACCUGGUAUAUUUCGAUUACCUUUUUUCACAAUAAAUAAUACACUACCAGGAUUAUCCCCCUUCGUUACUUUGGCAAUUCUCAAGAGUGCAAUAUUCCUCAUUUUUCAGUCACCUGGAUUCUUGAUGGAAUAUGGUUUAUUUGCAUCGGAUCAGCCAUAUUUUCAGCUACAUCCAACUGCAUUAUGAGUAUAUA